UACGAAGGGGGCUAGCGUUGCUCGGAAUUACUGGGCGUAAAGGGCGCGUAGGCGGACAGUUUAGUCAGAGGUGAAAGCCCAGGGCUCAACCUUGGAAUUGCCUUUGAUACUGGCUGUCUUGAGUUCGGGAGAGGUGAGUGGAAUGCCGAGUGUAGAGGUGAAAUUCGUAGAUAUUCGGCGGAACACCAGUGGCGAAGGCGACUCACUGGCCCGAUACUGACGCUAGGCGCGAAAGCGUGGGGAGCAAACAGG
rnacentral:rRNA from 1 species